rnacentral:rRNA from 1 species
UUAAAAAGCUCGUAGUUGGAUUUCUGUCAACGAGUGGCGCUCCGCCCCUUGUGGUGAGUAGUCGUCAUGCCGUUGGCAUCUUUCUGGGGAGUGUAUCUGCACUUCAUUGUGUGGUGCAUAAGCCAGGACAUUUACUUUGAGGAAAUGAGAGUGUUUCAAGCAGGCGCACGCCGUGAAUACGUUAGCAUGGAAUAAUAGCAUCGGAUCUCGCUCCAAAGCUGUUGGUUUCUUGGGUCGAGAUAAAGGUGAAUAGGGAUUGUUGGGGGCAUUCGUAUUUAACUGUCAGAGGUGAAAUUCUUGGAUUCGUUGAAGACGGACUACUGCGAAAGCAUCUGCCAAAGAUGUUCUCAUUGAUCAAGAACGAAAGUUAGGUGAUCGAAGACGAUCAGAUACCGUCCUAGUCUCAACCAUAAACUAUGCCGACUGGAGAUAGGGGGUCGUUAAAUUGGUGACGCCUUCUGCAUCUUGAGAGAAAUCAAAGUCUUUGGGUUCCGGGGGGAGUAUGGUCGCAAGGCUGAAACUUAAAGGAAUUGACGGAAGGGCACCACCAGGAGUGGAGCCUGCGGGCUUAAUUUGACUCAACACGGGGAAACUUAC